GACGACGAAGCUCAUUGGGAGAGCGCAGGGCUUGCCCUGAGGUUGCUGGUUCGAUUCCAGCCGUCGCCA
rfam:Phytophthora ramorum strain Pr102 Scaffold2 genomic scaffold, whole genome shotgun sequence.